UACAGAGGUGGCAAGCGUUGUUCGGAAUUACUGGGCGUAAAGGGCGCGUAGGCGGCCUUCUAAGUCAGACGUGAAAUCCCCCGGCUUAACCUGGGAACUGCGUCUGAUACUGGAGGGCUUGAGUGCGGGAGAGGGAUGUGGAAUUCCAGGUGUAGCGGUGAAAUGCGUAGAUAUCUGGAGGAACACCGGUGGCGAAGGCGGCGUCCUGGACCGACACUGACGCUGAGGCGCGAAAGCUAGGGUAGCAAACGGG
rnacentral:rRNA from 1 species